GACAACUCUCAACAACGGAUAUCUUGGCUCCCGUAACGAUGAAGAACGCAGCGAAAUGCGAUACGUAGUGUGAAUUGCAGAAUUCCGUGAACCAUCGAAUCUUUGAACGCAAAUUGCGCUUGAGGCUUCGGCCAAGAGCAUGUCUGGCUCAGCGUCGGCU
rnacentral:rRNA from 1 species